AAUGAACGUUGGCGGCGUGGAUUAGGCAUGCAAGUCGAGCGAGAAUCUGCUGACUGAAACUUCGGUUGAUUUUAGUGGAGGACAGCGGCGAACGGGAGAGUAACGCGUGGAGUACCUGCCCUUGGAUCCGGGAUAGCUGCGGGAAACUGCAGGUAAUACCGGAUAAUGUCUCCGGACUAAAGGUGUGAUUCCGUCCAAGGAUGGCUCCGCGUCCUAUUAGCUUGUUGGUGAGGUGAUGGCUCACCAAGGCCGCGAUGGGUACCGGGUGUGAGAGCAUGACCCGGCUCACUGGGACUGAGACACUGCCCAGACACCUACGGGUGGCUGCAGUCGAGAAUCUUCGGCAAUGGACGCAAGUCCGACCGAGCGACGCCGCGUGCGGGAUGAAGGCCUUCGGGUUGUAAACCGCUGUCAGUUGGGAGGAAAUCCUAGAGGGUUAUCCCUCUAGGUUGACCUAGCUUCAGAGGAAGUGCGGGCUAAGUUCGUG
rnacentral:rRNA from 1 species